AAAUUUCAUCUAACAAAUAUUAUUAAAAAAAUUUUAAUAUUAUUUUUAAAUAGAUGUUGUA
rnacentral:tRNA from 1 species